rnacentral:rRNA from 1 species
CCCUUAGACGUUCUGGGCCGCACGCGCGCUACACUGACCAGUGCAACAAGCAUCCGUCCUUGGCCGACAGGCUCGGGCAAUCUUUGAACGCUGUUCGUGAUUGGGAUAGACCUUUGCAAUUAUGGGUCUUCAACGAGGAAUUCCUAGUAAACGCAAGUCAUCAGCUUGCAUUGAUUACGCCCCUGCCCUUUGUACACACCGCCCGUCGCACCUACCGAUUGAAUGGUCCGGUGAAAUCUCGGGACGGCGGCUUGGUCGCUUGCGUCCGACUGCUGAAACUUGAUUAAACCAUAUCAUUUAGAGGAAGGUGAAGUCGUAACA